GUGCAACUGUUUGCUCUGUGAGGAAUACUCUUGCUAAAUGGAGGCAAGCUGCAAAAAAGUCAUCUGCUACUAAGAAAGAGAGAAACCUUUUUUACCCUUUCCAUAUGGAUUGUGCCUUUUUUCCAUUUCCAAAACAAAGACAUACGAAGCUUAUUGGUCAAGCAGUGGCCUCAUUCCUCACCAGAAGGAAGUCCGUCUGGAGCUCCCUCAGGAAGCUGGUUUCAUAUGGUGGUUUAGAUUUAAGUACACAAUGUCUAGCACCAUUUGAAAUCAGUGCUCUUGGAGGAAGAAUGGCAGCUCUUUCAGUCUCCCCAGGAAGCCACCGGGGCUUCCAAGGCGAAGGGGGAUUUAAGGCAUCUGAUAAAGUGUGUUUUUUAGCAGCAACCACUUAAGAAAUAUUUACGGCCUACAUUUUAACAAAUAGCUUUGACAGCAAAAUAGAAGGAAGAGCAAAAAAAAAAAAGAACAACCCAAACAAUUUACUUAGAGCAACCACAAAAAAUAAAUGAAUCUUCUCUUAGGAAUUGGCUACGUGUGAGAAGUUAAAUGAUUUCAUUUGUACCAAGAUGCGGUUUAUAGUAGCAAUAUAAUGAUCCUCAUUGAAGCAGAAUUUGGGUUUGGGUAUAAUUGUGAAAAAUCAUACCCCAGUGUUUUAUGUGCUUCUUACAGAUGCAAACUGUUCAUAAUCAUGCAAUGUUUUAAAAAAGGGGGAAUGUAUAGGAUAUAAAGAGAGGCUAGGUAUAAAGAUUAAUAUGACUAUCUCAAAAAAAUAUUUGUUUAAAAAUGACCUCUAUUAAAUACAUAUCCGUGCAUAAUUGAAGCAUAACUGACGUACUCAGCCUUGAACAAUGGAUAGUAAAGAGGUACCUUUCAGAUUUCAGGAUACAGUCUUUUGGCAAUAGGUGAAGCAUGGAAGAUCCAACAAAGGGUGCAGGAAUGUAUUUUAAAGGAACAUCUCCAUCUAGAAACAACAACGAUUUUAAUGCAACAAUAGCAUGUUAUGACACGUCUUGCCAAAAGUCCCAAAAUAUAGCCACGUCACAUGGCAUAAGGCCUAUGACUCGUAUAUGGCUUCUUAGAAAAAUCAGUUAUUGACAUAUUUUGUCUGUAAAAAUAAGAUGUGAAAUUCUAAGAAUCUUCUUGUUUGCAUGGAGAAGCACAGUGUAAAGUGAGUGGGAACAAAGAGUGAAUCAGCUUGACCCCGCAAAGGAGAAAUUGUUUUCAGAAUAAAAUAACUGUUCUGCAGUAGCUCAAAGGAAACUGAUUUGGUUGAACAUAAAGCAAUCACGCUUUUGUCAGCAGCUUGCAUCUCCGAUUGAGCUGUGCAAGUAUUUUAAUUCCACCAGUGAGUCUGCUUUUUAUUUCAUUUGUUGAAUGAGGAAAAAUCCCAUUAUAUUAGUCUAAUGAAACUUAAUUGUGCCUAACAGAAUGGAUGUGCUCUUUUAAAAUAAGAUGCUUACAAGAUUCCUUGUGUAUAUUAAAUUAGGAGCGUCAGCCUUUGGCUCCGUAGAGUCCGGUCACCCCUUUAAAGGAUGACUGAUUUCUUCUGGUGUUCGGAGUCUAGUUCUCUUUCUAGCACCAUUUGAAAUCGGUUAUAGUGAUUGGGGAAUAUCACCAUGGAAGCAGGCUGGAACGGCGGAGUGUAGAAAUAAAGACGUUGCUUCUUUCAGCCAUCACAGCUGGAAGGGCAGGACAAGGCUUGAAGUCCUAACUCUGCAGUGGACUAUAUGGAGGAGCAAAGAAGAAAGAAGAAGAUGCUGAAUUGGGGCUGGAUGUAUCAUUCCCCCCCCCUCCCCAAAAUAAAGAAACUGAAGUUUACCUCGCAGAGCUGGUGUAUGGUCUAAUACAAUAAAAGUUGCAGUGCUCUUUGCAAACCAAACAUUUGAUAAUAAUUGCUGUCAGCCAACUUUGAGAUGACUAUGAAUGGGAGUUCUCCAGGUCAUCUAUUCAUAUGAAUGGCUUGGAGGUCUCCCAUUCAUAUGAGAUGAUUAUGAAUAAUGAGAUUCAUUUUCAGAUGACCUAUUUGUAUGAGAUGACUUUUCAUAUGAGAUGAUUAUGAAUGGGAGACCUCCAAGUCAAUUCAUUCAUCUUGAACAGCUCUUUGCUACUGCCUUCCAUUAUAGAAAAGCAUUAUUGUCUUUUCUAGCGAGUCAUGUCGUCUUAUGAUACAUCUCAAAUAUAACAGCGUAAUUGAAUCCUUGAGUUGGAAGAGACCCCAAUGACCAUCCAGUCCAGCCCCAUUCUGCCAUGUAGAAAUAACCAAAGUAUUCCCAACAGUUUAACCUCUUGGCUGCUAGAGAGAGCUCCAGCAUUUCUCAGAUACCUUAAACAACACCUGAAUCAUGGCCAUUGUGUGUGUAAGUCACCUGUCAAGUUAUGGUAACCAUUGAAUAUAAUGGGGGUUUUUAGACAAGAGGUACUCAGAUGUACUUUCGCCAGUUCCUCUAAAAUAAGAGCCUAUAGCACUUAUUCAUUGGUGGUCUUCCGUCCAAGUACUAACCCUUCUUAGCUUCCACAAUCGGAUAGUUGUCUUGUGCCUUUAGGAUAUUUAAGAUCAUUAAGGGAUUUGUAUUUCUGAAAGUCUAGAAGGCAAUUGAGAUCGCUCCUUAUUUUCUACUCUGGCUGGCAGGGGCUGCUAGUUGUUUUUUUAUCUGCAUCCUCUAUUUGUUUGCUUUGCUGGAAUUACUGGGGAAUUAUGAAUGCUACCUGCAUUAGAGGAAUGUGCUUUACCACCGAGUUACCAUCACUCUUUCCUCCCAAGUAAAAUCUGAGUGUGUGGCGUCCUCUUGUGUCCUCAUUUUGUACAACACACACACACGUAUUUCUUCAAUGUCUACUGUGUGCCUCAAAGCAAUAUAUGGCACAUUUGUGGUGUUUUCUUGGAAGGAGUUUUUCAGGGGGGGGUUGCGAUUGCUUUCUGAGGCUGAGAGAAUGUGACUUGCCCAAGGAUUUACCUUGGGUUUCCAAGACCAAGCAUGGAUUCAAAUUCUGAUCUCGCACAAUCAUAUUGCAACAAUACUCAAACUAUUACACUGUAGUGACAGGACCAGAAUGGCCAGAUGUGGGAAGCAUAUAGUCUGGUUCUUGGAUUCCAAGUCCUAUCAUUCAUCAUCUUAACCUGGCUAGGGCAAAUGGGACUUGUAGCCCAAUAAUCUCGGCAACCUACAAAUUCCAAAAUAAAAUCCCAUUGGUUAGUGCUGAAUAGAGUACAGUACAUCCAUUUAAUCAGUUGUUGAAUGGGUGAGUCAAUGCAUAGAUGGAUCUAGUUUGACACCCCUUUAACUGCCAGGGCUCAAGGGUUAUGUAAUCCUAGGAGUUGUAGUUUGGGCAAAACACCAUUACUCUGGCAGACAGGACUUUCUAAAAUUGCAAGUCCCAUGAUUCCAUAUCCUUGAGUCGUUGCAGUUAAAGUGACAAAACUGCGAUAAUACUGCAGUGUAGUGAUAUCCUGAAAUUGGCAAUCCCAGACCUCGAUCCAACUGUUGGA
ensembl:lncRNA